GUAGGUGGCAAGCGUUGUCCGGAAUUAUUGGGGCGUGAAGCGCGCGCAGGCGGUCCUUUAAGUCUGAUGUGAAAGCCCACGGGCUCAACCGUGGAGGGUCAUUGGAAACUGGGGGACUUGAGUACAGAAGAGGAAAGCGGAAUUCCACGUGUAGCGGUGAAAUGCGUAGAGAUGUGGAGGAACACCAGUGGCGAAGGCGGCUUUCUGGUCUGUAACUGACGCUGAGGCGCGAAAGCGUGGGGAGCAAACAGGAUUAGAUACCCUGGUAGUCCACGCCGUAAACGAUGAGUGCUAAGUGUUAGGGGGUUUCCGCCCCUUAGUGCUGCAGCUAACGCAUUAAGCACUCCGCCUGGGGAGUACGGCCGCAAAGGCUG
rnacentral:rRNA from 1 species